GCUAUAAUCUCACUUCUCUUCCCAGUUCUCCCCAGAGUCGGGAAAAGCUGAGUUGAGAAGGGAAAAAAUAAAUGAU
rnacentral:pre_miRNA from 1 species